rnacentral:rRNA from 1 species
GAACGCUGGCGGUAUGCUUAACACAUGCAAGUCGAACGAGAAAGUUUCCUUCGGGAAACGAGUAAAGUGGCGCACGGGUGAGUAACGCGUAGAUAACCUGUCCAAAUGACCGGGACAGCCCUUCGAAAGGGGGGUUAAUACCGGAUACGUCGAUUGUUUUUAAGGACAAUUAAAAAGUGUGGACUCUAUUAUAAUCUAUCACGCAUGUCGUUGUCUGCGUCCCCUUCGUUUUUUGGUUUGUUACUUUCCUCCCCCGACUACGAUGUUUAACGGGUCUGAGAGUAUGAUCCGUCAUACUGGCACUGAAACACGGGCCAGACUCCUACGGGAGGCAGCAGUGAGGAAUAUUGCGCAAUGGGGACAACCCUGACGCAGCGACGCCGCGUGGGUGAGGAAGGCUUUCGGGUCGUAAAGCUCUGUCAGAAGGGAAGAAAUGCUUAUAGGUUAAUACCUUGUAAGCUUGACGGUACCUUCAAAAGAAGCAACGGCUCACUACGUCCCCGCCGCGCUAAGUCAGACGGAGGUGCAAGCGUUGUUCGGAAUCACUGGGCGUAAAGUGCGCGUAGGCGGCCAAGCAAGUCAGAUGUGAAAGCCCACGGCUCAACCGUGGAAGUGCAUUUGAAACUGCUUGGCUUGAGUAUCAGAGGGGAAAGUGGAAUUCCCGGUGUAGAGGUGAAAUUCGUAGAUAUCGGGAAGAAUACCGGUGGCGAAGGCGACUUUCUGGCUGAAUACUGACGCUGAGGCGCGAAAGCGUGGGGAGCAAACAGGAUUAGAUACCCUGGUAGUCCACGCCGUAAACGAUGUCAACUAGAUGCAGGGGGUGUUGAUCCCCUCUGUGUCGCAGCUAACGCGAUAAGCUCUCCGCCUGGGGAGUACGACCGCAAGACUGAAACUCAAAUGAAUUGACGGGGACCCGCACAAGCGGGGGAGUAUGUUGUUUAAUUCGAUAACGCGAAGAAAACCUUACCUGGGUUUGACAUCCUGUGAAUCAUCAAGAGAUCAAAGAGUGCCUUCGGGAACACAGUGACAGGUGCUGCAUGGCUGUCGUCAGCUCGUGUCGUGAGAUGUUUGGUUAAGUCCAGCAACGAGCGCAACCCUUAUCGUUAGUUGCCAGCGCGUAAUGGCGGGAACUUUAGCGAGACUGCCCGGGUUAACCGGGAGGAAGGCGGGGAUGACGGUCAAGUCCUCAUGGCCCUUAUAUCCAGGGCUACACACGUGCUACAAUGGUAAAUACAGAGGGCAGCAAGCCAGCGAUGGUAAGCGAAUCCCUAAAGUUUAUCUCAGUCCGGAUUGGAGUCUGCAACUCGACUCUAUGAAGUUGGAAUCGCUAGUAAUCGCGGAUCAGCAUGCCGCGGUGAAUAUGUUCCCGGGCCUUGUACACACCGCCCGUCACACCAUGGGAGUUGAUUAUACCCGACGUCAUUGGGCUAACCCUUCGGGGAGCAGGUGCUAUCUAAUUUAGAAAGAGAAUAGGUAGUAUAAGUUAGUAGCUGGGAGGCAGGCGCCUAAGGUAUGGUUAUAACU